rnacentral:rRNA from 1 species
CCUACGGGGGGCAGCAGUGGGGAAUAUUGCACAAUGGGGGAAACCCUGAUGCAGCAACGCCGCGUGAGUGAUGAAGGUUUUCGGAUCGUAAAGCUCUGUCUUUGGGGAAGAUAAUGACGGUACCCAAGGAGGAAGCCACGGCUAACUACGUGCCAGCAGCCGCGGUAAUACGUAGGUGGCGAGCGUUAUCCGGAUUUACUGGGCGUAAAGGGUGCGUAGGCGGUAGGGCAAGUCAGAUGUGAAAGCCCGGAGCUCAACUCCGGGACUGCAUUUGAAACUGUCCUACUAGAGUGCAGGAGAGGAAAGCGGAAUUCCUAGUGUAGCGGUGAAAUGCGUAGAUAUUAGGAAGAACACCAGUGGCGAAGGCGGCUUUCUGGACUGUAACUGACGCUGAGGCACGAAAGCGUGGGGAGCGAACAGGAUUAGAUACCCGGGUAGUC